rnacentral:misc_RNA from 1 species
GAAAUGCGAUAAUUAAUGUGAAUUGCAGAAUUCAGUGAAUCAUCGAGUCUUUGAACGCACAUUGCGCCCCCUGGUAUUCCGGGGGGCAUGCCUGUCCGAGCGUCAUUGCUGCCCUCAAGCACGGCUUGUGUGUUGGGCUUCCGUCCCUGGCAACGGGGACGGGCCCAAAAUGCAGUGGCGGCACCAUGUCUGGUCCUCGAGCGUAUGGGGCUUUGUCACCCGCUCCCGUAGGUCCAGCUGGCAGCUAGCCUCGCAACCAAUCUUUUUAACCAGGUUGACCUCGGAUCAGGUAGGGAUACCCGCUGAACUUAAGC